AGAGUUUGAUCCUGGCUCAGGAUGAACGCUGGCGGCGUGGAUAGGGCAUGCAAGUCAAGGGGGUCGCAAGACAACCGGCAGACGAGAUAGUAUAAAAUAGGUACAAACCCAGAAGUCAGGAAUAGCCUGUCGAAAGACAGGGUAAUACUUGAUGGCCCGUGCUCGAACUUUGAACAUAAAUAUUUUGUGUUUAAAGUUCGAGUACGGUAAAGAUUUAUCGCUUUUGGAUUGGCCUGUUCAGUAUCAGCUAGUUGGUAAGGUAAUGGCCUACCAAGGCAAUGACGCUUAGGGGAAGUGAGAGCUUGAUCCCCAUCGAUGGAACUGGGACACGGUCCAUACACCUACGGGUGGCUGCAGUCGAGAAUAUUCGACAAUGGAGGAAACUCUGAUCGAGCGACGCCGCGUGCAGGAAGAAGUGCUUCGGUAUGUAAACUGCUUUGGUAGACUAGUAAUUUUGAACAGUCUAAGAAUAAGAGGUUGCUAAACUCGUGCCAGCAGCAGCGGUAAUACGAGUGCUCAAGCGUAUCCGGAAUUAUGGGCGUAAAGGGUGUGUAGGUGUUUUGUUAGUCUCUGUUAAAUUUCUCGGCUUAACCGGGAACCUGCAGGGGAAACGGCAAGACUUAGAGUGUGCGAGGGGUCUGUGGAACUCAUAGUGUAGCAGUGAAAUGCGUUGAUAUUAUGGGGAACACCAAAAGCGAAGGCAGCAGACUGGAGCAUUACUGACACUGAAACACGAAAGCGUGGGUAGCGAAUGGGAUUAGAUACCCCAGUAGUCCACGCCCUAAACUAUGUUUUCUAGGUUUUCGGAGUAUCGACCCUCUGAGAGCCACAGCUAACGCGUUAAGAAAACCGCCUGGGUAGUACGGCCGCAAGGCUAAAACUCAAAGGAAUAGACGGGACUCGCACAAGCAGAGGAUCAUGUGGUUUAAUUCGAUGGUAAACGAAGAACCUUACCACGGUUUGAAACUAGCUGAAGUUAGGUAGAAUAUUUAACGUCUCACAAGGACAGUCAGGCAGGUGAUGCAUGGCCGUCGUCAGGUCGUGGUUUGAAUUGUUCCCUUAAGUGGGGUAACGAACGCAACCCUCGUUGUCUGUUAUAUAUGUCAGACGAGACUGCCCCAGCAUUUGAGCACAAACGAAAGUUUGCGAGCAAGUGCUGGGGAGGAAGGCGGGGAUGACGCCAGGUCAGCAUGUCCCUUUGAUACCCUGGGCUACACACGUGAUACAAUGGCACAUACAGAGCGAAGCAAAGAAGUAAUUCAGAGCUAAUCGUUAAAGUGUGCCUAAGUUCGGAUUGAAGUCUGCAACUCGACUUCAUGAAGUUGGAUUUGCUAGUAAUCACAGGUCAGCCAUACUGUGGUGAAUACGUUCUCGAGUCUUGUACUCACCGCCCGUCAACUCAAGGGAGCCAGGAAUACCCGAAACCAGCGCUAGUCGUUGUCUACGGUAAGUUUGGUGACAGGGAGUAAGUCGUAACAAGGUAACC
rnacentral:rRNA from 1 species